AGGCUUGUAGCUCAGGUGGUUAGAGCGCACCCCUGAUAAGGGUGAGGUCGGUGGUUCAUAGUGCACUCAGGCUUACCA
rnacentral:tRNA from 1 species